rnacentral:tRNA from 2 species
GCUGGAAUAGCUCAGUUGGUAGAGCAACGCACUCGUAAUGCGUAGGUCGUAGGUUCAAGUCCCAUUUCCAGCACCA